rnacentral:rRNA from 1 species
GUAGAACGCUGAAGCUUGGUGCUUGCACCGAGCGGAUGAGUUGCGAACGGGUGAGUAACGCGUAGGUAACCUGCCUCUUAGCGGGGGAUAACUAUUGGAAACGAUAGCUAAUACCGCAUAAAAGACGAUAUCGCAUGAUAUUGAUUUGAAAGGUGCAAUUGCAUCACUAAGAGAUGGACCUGCGUUGUAUUAGCUAGUUGGUGAGGUAACGGCUCACCAAGGCGACGAUACAUAGCCGACCUGAGAGGGUGAUCGGCCACACUGGGACUGAGACACGGCCCAGACUCCUACGGGAGGCAGCAGUAGGGAAUCUUCGGCAAUGGGGGCAACCCUGACCGAGCAACGCCGCGUGAGUGAAGAAGGUUUUCGGAUCGUAAAGCUCUGUUGUAAGAGAAGAACGAGUGUGAGAGUGGAAAGUUCACACUGUGACGGUAACUUACCAGAAAGGGACGGCUAACUACGUGCCAGCAGCCGCGGUAAUACGUAGGUCCCGAGCGUUAUCCGGAUUUAUUGGGCGUAAAGCGAGCGCAGGCGGUUUGAUAAGUCUGAAGUUAAAGGCUGUGGCUCAACCAUAGUUCGCUUUGGAAACUGUCAAACUUGAGUGCAGAAGGGGAGAGUGGAAUUCCAUGUGUAGCGGUGAAAUGCGUAGAUAUAUGGAGGAACACCGGUGGCGAAAGCGGCUCUCU